rnacentral:lncRNA from 1 species
UCUGGCUGUGUGCUUUGCUAUAGUUUAUAGCCGUCAGACUAACUUGAGCUUGUUUCAAGAGCAUGUACAUCUUUAAAGGGACCUGCUGACUGGAAAAAGCUGCUCAAGAAAACCAUAAACAAGCCAGAACGCUGCAGGAACAGCUCAGAACCAUUUCCCAAGAGCUGCUCUGCCUCAAAGACGAACUGCAGAGCCAAGAAGAGGGCAGCACUCAGCUACGUGAGAUCAAGGACAGCGUGCACUCUCUGAGGUCCCAGGUGAAAGCAGAGCUUGACAAUGGGCUGAGGGAGCUGGAGUCGCCCUCUAGUGCCUCCUCAGACACAGACAGCCUGAAAGAGAACCGUCCCAGUGUGGGGAUCCCAGCAUGC